UCAAUCAUCUCUGGCGCAAAUGUCAAAUAAUUCGAUGGAUGGCUGGUAUUCGAUAUCUCAAAUUCGAAUUCUACUUGAUUCACAUUUUCAACUAAAUUUACUUUUAAAAGAAAUAAAUAAAACAGAUAGCGUAUUAUCUUUCUCUUAAAAAAAAAAUCUAUUAUAAUUAGGAUUCUACUUUAAUUUAAAUUUAUAUCUUAUUCCAUCCUAAUGUAAUAAGUAUUUAACUCUAUAUUUAGAUAACUCAAAUCUAAUCAAAUUCCAUUAAAAAGAAAAUUGCUGUGCUCUCAUUUUCUUAAACCUUUGGUGAGUAAUGAGAUAGAAAUAAUGUGGAGAAAGUAACACAUAUGGUUCUGAUACGUUAUAGAACAUUUAGUGUUAAGUCUCUUUACAGUCAGAUUUUUUAGUUUCCCACCCAAAGAGAUCUGAAACUGAAACAAUUUAAAUACAAAAUGAUCGGAUUUGAAUUCAAAUUCGAAUCUGAAUCUGCACCGACCUGUAUAUCUCUCUCACACACACACACACACACACACACACAUACACACAUAUAUAUAUAUAUAUAU
rnacentral:lncRNA from 1 species